UUGAGUUAAGGAUAUGAUCAUACUUGCUGUUGAGUUCCGUGCUCGAGGGCGGUCGCUCCCCCUCGGGCGAUGCGCUCCGGAGUUAUGCAUCCGGGUUGGAGUAGACCCGUAAGGACGGUCCUAGCUGGUGAGUACCUGCGAUGAUGGACUUAACGUGAGGCAAGUUAAUGUGGCGAAACCCCCGGGUUAGCCUUAAUGAUUAAAGAGCAAAGAACAAAGAAUAAAGAACAAAGAGUAAAGUGAAAAGAACUAAAGAACAUGCAUAAUCUGCAUCUAUUAAUGUUGAGCAUAUUCCUUGCUUUUGUUCAGGCAUAUUAGCAUCAUGUUAUAGAUUGGUUACUAUAUUUCAGCUUAUCCUUUCUAUUAUGCUUGAGUUAGUCCUAGUGGGAAAGUCGGUGAUGUUGGGGCCGAACCCACUGGGAACUUUGUUGUAGUUCUCACCCCACUAUUCCACAGAGCCGGGACCGAGCGAGCCGGCGAGCGACCGCGGUAAAGGUAUCGCACCGUAGUCAGAGGCCACCGGAGUUGGGUUACAUUUUGUUAGUAGUUUACCCCUUUUAUCAUCUUUGUAUUUGAUGAUCUAAGAUGUUGAUGUGUUAAGCAAAGUAAAGAAAAGAAUGUAAUGUUCAUUUUGAGGUAAAUGUGAUGUAAAAGAAAUGAUGAAAGAAUGUAAAGAUUUUGGAUGUACAAGUUGGAUAGAUACAACGUAUGUGAUCAAAAUGAAUCAUAGUACUAGUUGAAUGUUUAGUUUUCCUUUCUUUCACUAAUGGCUAUUGCUUACCCUCGUGUAAGCCGUUUGUGCAUGUUUCCGCUAGUGCAUUUCAAUUCUCUUGAAAUUGUACACGUGAUGAGCCUUGGGCGGAUAGGGGAAACUCUGUCCGUUCGGCGUCUGUUCGACGUGCUCGGGCCGGCCCAAAUUGGUAUCGGCUCCGGGGCGUGACAGGUACGCGGGCAGGAGUACCGGUACUCGGCAACAAAUCCUGCGCAACCCGAGCCUCUGCCAGGCAGUUUAUAUCACGACAUACCGGUAUGUAGGCAAUGCAGUACCGGUACCCGGCAGCCCGCAGCUCAAACCCGAGAGCAGCUUCUCUCGGUUACGCACAGGUGUUCCGGUACCUCACCCUGGUACCAGUACUCGGCACUCCAAAACCUGAAUUUUCAGAUUUUGGUGCUAAGUACUACUUCUCGCGUUCUCGCAACAUGAGUAAUGGGUCGGUACUCAGUCAAUGACCUACAAAAACACCAGGGAUAGCUCAAAAUGCUAUUCAAACACUGGAACUUUGCAAUUUGCUAAAGUUCAGUGUGUUACACACUGGCAAGCGAUAGCAGAGACAGUAGCCUAGAUGUUGCCGACAUAUAUGUG
rnacentral:lncRNA from 1 species